UUUUACUGCAGCCAUGACUUCUCAUGUUCUUUACUUAUGAUCAUAUGGUCAAAGGGGAAUCCUAGCCUCACCGUGUUCCUUUUAUUGAAAGGCGUUGGAAAUUAAGAAUAUGGUCACUAUUUCUUUAGUGUUAUUGUUUUUUCAUGAUCUUCAUCCUUGUUUUCCUAUAAAAAGAAAGGUAAUGCACUGAGGCUAAGAUGAUAUUUUUUACGGAAAGUUUCAUACAUGUUGUUUUAAGGAACAAAUUGAUUGGUUAUUUGGCAAGGCAAUGAGGUGUUCUGUGCAAAAAGAAUUGAUGGUGUAUAAAGUCCCUCUGUGUUCUGAUUUUUCCUGUUCUGGUCCCUUUAAAUAAUUGUUUUGCACAGAAUGCCUUUUACUGAAGCCAUGACUACUCAUGUUCUUUACUUAUGAUCAUAUGGUCAAAAGGGAAUCCUAGCCUCACCGUGUUCCUUUUAUUGAAAUGCGUUGGAAAUUAUGAAUAUGGUCACUAUUUCUUUAGUGUUCUUGUUUUUUCAUGAUCUUCAUCCUUCUUUUCCUAUAAAAAGAAAGGUAAUGCACUGAGGUUAAGAUGAUUUUUUUACGGAAAGUUUCAUACAUAUUGUUUUAAGGGACAAAUUGAUUGGUUAUUUGGCAAGGCAAUGAGGUGUUCUGUGCAAAAAGAAUUGAUGGCAUAUAAAGUCCCUCUGUUUUCUGAUUUUUCCUGUUCUGGUCCCUUUAAAUAAUUGUUUUGCACAGAAUGCCUUUUACUGCAGCCAUGACUUCUCAUGUUCUUUACUUAUGAUCAUAUGGUCAAAGGGGAAUCCUAGCCUCACCGUGUUCCUUUUAUUGAAACGCGUUGGAAAUUAAGAAUAUGGUCACUAUUUCUUUAAUGUUAUUGUUUUUUCAUGAUCUUCAUCCUUGUUUUCCUAUAAAAAGAAAGGUAAUGCACUGAGGCUAAGAUGAUUUUUUUACGGAAAGUUUCAUACAUGUUGUUUUAAGGAACAAAUUGAUUGGUUAUUUGGCAAGGCAAUGAGGUGUUCUGUGCAAAAAGAAUUGAUGGUGUAUAAAGUCCCUCUGUGUUCUGAUUUUUCCUGUUCUGGUCCCUUUAAAUAAUUGUUUUGCACAGAAUGCCUUUUACUGAAGCCAUGACUACUCAUGUUUUUUACUUAUGAUCAUAUGGUCAAAAGGGAAUCCUAGCCUCACCGUGUUCCUUUUAUUGAAAUGCGUUGGAAAUUAUGAAUAUGGUCACUAUUUCUUUAGUGUUCUUGUUUUUUCAUGAUCUUCAUCCUUCUUUUCCUAUAAAAAGAAAGGUAAUGCACUGAGGUUAAGAUGAUUUGUUUUACGGAAAGUUUCAUACAUAUUGUUUUAAGGGACAAAUUGAUUGGUUAUUUGGCAAGGCAAUGAGGUGUUCUGUGCAAAAAGAAUUGAUGGCAUAUAAAGUCCCUCUGUUUUCUGAUUUUUCCUGUUCUGGUCCCUUUAAAUAAUUGUUUUGCACAGAAUGCCUUUUACUGCAGCCAUGACUUCUCUUCUUUACUUAUGAUCAUAUGGUCAAGGGGAUCCUAGCCUCACCGUGUUCCUUUUAUUGAAACGCGUUGGAAAUUAAGAAUAUGGUCACUAUUUCUUUAAUGUUAUUGUUUUUUCAUGAUCUUCAUCCUUGUUUUCCUAUAAAAAGAAAGGUAAUGCACUGAGGCUAAGAUGAUAUUUUUUACGGAAAGUUUCAUACAUGUUGUUUUAAGGAACAAAUUGAUUGGUUAUUUGGCAAGGCAAUGAGGUGUUCUGUGCAAAAAGAAUUGAUGGUGUAUAAAGUCCCUCUGUGUUCUGAUUUUUCCUGUUCUUGUCCCUUUAAAUAAUUGUUUUGCACAGAAUGCCUUUUAUUGCAGCCAUGAUUUCUCAUAUUUUUUACUUAUGAUCAUAUGGUCAAAAGGGAAUCCUAGCCUCACCGUGUUCCUUUUAUUGAAAUGCGUUGGAAAUUAAGAAUAUGGUCACAAUUUCUUUAGUGUUAUUGUUUUUUCAUGAUCUUCAUCCUUGGUUUCCUAUAAAAAGAAAGGUAAUGCACUGAGGCUAUGAUGAUAUUUUUUACGGAAAGUUCAUACAUAUUGUUUUAAGGAACAAAUUGAUUGGUUAUUUGGCAAGGCAAUGAGGUGUUCUGUGCAAAAAGAAUUGAUGGCGUAUUAGUCCCUCUGUUUUCUGAUUUUUCCUGUUCUGGUCCCUUUAGAUAAUUGUUUUGCACAGAAUGCCUUUUACUGCAGCCAUGACUUCUCAUGUUCUUUACUUGUGAUCAUAUGGUCAAAGGGGAAUCCUAGCCUCACCGUGUUCCUUUUAUUGAAAUGCGUUGGAAAUUAAGAAUAUGAUAUGGUCACGAUUUCUUCAGUGUUAUUGUUUUUCUAUGAUCUUCAUCCUUGUAUUCCUAUAAAAAGAAAGGUAAUGCACUGAGGCUUAGAUGAUAUUUUUUAUGGAAAAUUUCAUACAUAUUGUUUUAAGGAACAAAUUGAUUGGUUAUUUGGCAAGGCAAUGAGGUGUUCUGUGCAAAAAGAAUUGAUGGCAUAUAUAGUCCCUCUGUUUUCUGAUUUUUCCUGUUUUGGUCCCUUUAAAUAAUUGUUUUGCACAGAAUGCCUUUUACUGCAGCCAUGACUUCUCAUGUUUUUUACUUAUGAUCAUAUGGUCAAAGGGGAAUCCUAGCCCCACCGUGUUCCUAUUAUUGAAAUGCGUUGGAAAUUAAGAAUAUGGUCACUAUUUAUUUAGUGUUAUUGUUUUUUCAUGAUCUUCAUCCUUGUUUUCCUAUAAAAAGAAAUGUAAUGCACUAAGGCUAAGAUGAUAUUUUUUACAGAAAAUUUCAUACAUAUUGUUUUAAGGAACAAACUGAUUGGUUAUUUGGCAAGACAAUGAGGUGUCAUGUGAGAUUUAAUGGUGCAUCUAGUCCCAUUGUUCUCAGAUUUUUCUUGUUCUGGUCCUUUUAGAUGAUUUUUUUAUACAAAAUGCUUUUUUUGGCAGCCACAACCUCUUAUGCUCCUUGCUUAUGAUUGUAUGAUAAAACACAAAUCUUAGCCUCUCUAUGUUCCUUCGGUUGAAUUGCGCUGGAAAUUGAAAAUAGGGUCAAGUUUUGUUUACUAAUAUCGUUUGGUCAUGAUCUUUCUUUCUUUCCCUAUAAAACAGAAGGUAAUGCAAUGAGGCUACAAAGAUAUUUUUAAUGGAAAAUUCCAUGCAUGUGAUUAUAAGGAACAAAUUGAAUUGUUAUUUGGCCUCAAUGAGGUGUUUUGUUCAAAAAAGGUUAAUGGUGUAUCUAGUCCCUUUGCUCUCUGAUUUGUCUUGUUCUGGUCCCUCUAGAUAGUUGUUUUGUACAUAAUUCCUUUAUCGCAUCCAUUACCUCUCCGGUCCCUCCAGUUUUAAGGAACUCCUCAAUGUUCUAAAAGGAAAAAUCUCUUGGUGAACAAGUUUGAGACAACUGGCUUUGCCACACACCAAAUGAUGUCGUUAGACUUGGUGCUAUAUCCUACAUUGAUUUCUGAAGUUGGUUCAAUAGUUAUGGUAUACCUUCAUGUGAAUGAAAGUCAUGCUAUAUAAUCUGCUUUUAUAUUAUGAAUUGAAUUUUGAAUUCUUUUCAGUUAUUAUCCUCAAGGUAAGUUCUAGUUAAUUGGGUGGUGUGAAUUAGCUAAUAAUUUGGAAGAUUUGCCUGCAUUUCUUGCUUCUUAUAUCUGUCAGAUGACCUUCUUAAUUGGAGAAUAAACUACAACAAAUAUACAAGUUUCAAGAGAAAAAUAGAUGAUCUUGUGCAUGAUCUCAAAGUAUUUGGAAUGGCCAAUUACCUCUAGAUAAUUGAGUUUACGUUGUUUUUUUUUUUUUAAUAG
rnacentral:lncRNA from 1 species